rnacentral:rRNA from 1 species
UACGUAGGGUGCAAGCGUUGUCCGGAAUUAUUGGGCGUAAAGAGCUCGUAGGCGGUCUGUCGCGUCUGCUGUGAAAAUCCAGGGCUCAACCCUGGACCUGCAGUGGGUACGGGCAGACUAGAGUGCGGUAGGGAGAUCGGAAUUCCUGGUGUAGCGGUGAAAUGCGUAGAUAUCUGGAGGAACACCGGUGGCGAAGGCGGCGUUCUGGACUGCAACUGACACUGAGGAACGAAGCCAGGGAG